GAUGAACGCUAGCGGCAGGCUUAAUACAUGCAAGUCGUGGGGCAGCGCGGGUAGCAAUACCUGGCGGCGACCGGCAAACGGGUGCGGAACACGUACGCAACCUUCCUUUAAGCGGGGAAUAGCCCAGGGAAACUUGGAUUAAUACCCCAUAAGAUUAUGGUGUGGCAUCACACAGUAAUUAAAGCUCCGGCACUUAAAGAUGGGCGUGCGGCUGAUUAGGUAGUUGGCGGGGUAACGGCCCACCAAGCCUACGAUCAGUAACUGGUGUGAGAGCACGACCAGUCACACGGGCACUGAGACACGGGCCCGACUCCUACGGGAGGCAGCAGUAAGGAAUAUUGGUCAAUGGGACNCAAGUCUGAACCCAGCCAUGCCGCGUGGAGGAUG
rnacentral:rRNA from 1 species